rnacentral:rRNA from 1 species
CCCAGUCGAGCGGCGAACGGGUGAGUAACGCGUGGAUUAUCUGCCCUGAGGUGGGGGAUAACCCGGGGAAACUCGGGCUAAUACCGCAUAGGACCGUGAGGUCAAAGGGGGCCGCAAGGCUCUCGCCAUAGGAGGAGUCCGCGUUCGAUUAGCUAGUUGGUAGGGUAAGUGGCCUACCAAGGCGACGAUCGAUAGCCGGCCUGAGAGGGUGAUCGGCCACACUGGAACUGAGACACGGUCCAG